rnacentral:rRNA from 1 species
GACAGAGGGUGCGAACGUUGUUCGGAAUUACUGGGCGUAAAGCGUGCGUAGGCGGUUUGUUAAGUCUGUCGUGAAAGCCCCGGGCUCAACCUGGGAAUGGCGAUGGAUACUGGCGAGCUAGAGUACGGUAGAGGAGAGUGGAAUUCCCGGUGUAGCAGUGAAAUGCGUAGAGAUCGGGAGGAACAUCAGUUGCGAAGGCGGCUCUCUGGACCAGUACUGACGCUGAGGCACGAAAGCGUGGGGAGCAAACAGG